rnacentral:rRNA from 1 species
UACGGAGGGUGCGAGCGUUGUCCGGAAUCACUGGGCGUAAAGGGCGCGUAGGCGGCGCGGGAAGUCCGUGGUGAAAGCCCGAGGCUCAACUUCGGGUCGGCCAUGGACACUCCUGGGCUUGAGCACUGUAGAGGCAGGUGGAAUUCCGGGUGUAGCGGUGGAAUGCGUAGAGAUCCGGAAGAACACCGGUGGCGAAGGCGGCCUGCUGGGCAGUAGCUGACGCUGAGGCGCGACAGCGUGGGGAGCAAACAGG